AACGCACAUUGCGCCCCCUGGUAUUCCGCGGGGCAUGCCUGUUCGAGCGUCAUUACAACCCUCAAGCCUGGCUUGGUAUUGAGCCCCGCCACUUAUCUGGCGGGCUCUAAAAUCAGUGGCGGUGUCGUCGUGGCCCUGAGCGUAGUAAAUGUCCUCGCUAUAGGGACCCGGCGAUUACUAGCCAUUAACCCCAAUCUUCUAAGUUUGACCUCGGAUCAGGUAGGGAUACCCGCUGAACUUAA
rnacentral:misc_RNA from 1 species